AAAAACUUUCAACAACGGAUCUCUUGGUUCUGGCAUCGAUGAAGAACGCAGCGAAAUGCGAUAAGUAAUGCGAAUUGCAGAAUUCCCGUGAGUCAUCGAAUCUUUGAACGCACAUU
rnacentral:rRNA from 1 species